rnacentral:lncRNA from 1 species
UGCAUCAUUUUGAUCAUAUAAAUGAGUAAAGAAAUUGUAAAAGUUUUGAUCAGAGAAUCCGGAGGCGGCUGGUUGAGUAGGUGGCUGUGGUGGUGGUGGUGGUGGUGGUUGUUGUCGUGCCCUUCUUCUCUUUGGCUUGCAGUAGCGGUCAACAUAGUCAUCAUUGAUGGUGGGAAUUUCCUCAUUCCCAAUCUGAGGAAGAUGUAGUCUGUUGGCCGAGCAUAAUCCCAUAAUGAGACAUGGGAAACCUAAAGGACUCGUGCUCUUUACCUUGGAUGACCUAAGUGCCUUAUCCGGGUGACCACUUAGAACAAUUUCUUUCAUNNNNNNNNNNNNNNNNNNNNNNNNNUUUCCAAAUCCUCAUUUAUGUAAUGGAUGAGGCCCAGGAUGUUCAUGGUGGCAUCUGAAGGAUGGGAAUUAGGUUGGAUGUUGUACAAGACCAGAUUGAAUAGCAGCACAGUGAAGGUUGAUAAGUUUGAUUAUGAUUUCUGUCGUUUUAAGCAAUUUUGUACUUUUUUAUUAUUUAUUAUCCUUUGUGCAUGCUAACUUGUCUGGUUAGAUUGUUGUCCU